CGCGAUACAGGGUGACAGCCCCGUACACAAAAGCGCAUGUGCUGUGAGCUCGAUGAGUAGGGCGGGACACGUGGUAUCCUGUCUGAAUAUGGGGGGACCAUCCUCCAAGGCUAAAUACUCCUGACUGACCGAUAGUGAACCAGUACCGUGAGGGAAAGGCGAAAAGAACCCCGGCGAGGGGAGUGAAAAAGAACCUGAAACCGUGUACGUACAAGCAGUGGGAGCCCCACCACUAAGCCAGUGGUGAACUCCACAUACGCAUCCUUUGCUGAGGAUACGGUUAACGGAGCGAAAGCGACGUUCAACCGCAAAAGAAGCAGAGGGGGCUUAGUGGUGGGGUGACUGCGUACCUUUUGUAUAAUGGGUCAGCGACUUAUAUUCUGUAGCAAGGUUAACCGAAUAGGGGAGCCGGAGGGAAACCGAGUCUUAAUUGGGCGUUAAGUUGCAGGGUAUAGACCCGAAACCCGGUGAUCUAGCCAUGGGCAGGUUGAAGGUUGGGUAACACUAACUGGAGGACCGAACCGACUAAUGUUGAAAAAUUAGCGGAUGACCUGUGGCUGGGGGUGAAAGGCCAAUCAAACCGGGAGAUAGCUGGUUCUCCCCGAAAGCUAUUUAGGUAGCGCCUCGUGAACUCAUCUCCGGGGGUAGAGCACUGUUUCGGCUAGGGGGCCAUCCCGGCUUACCAACCCGAUGCAAACUGCGAAUACCGGAGAAUGUUAUCACGGGAGACACACGGCGGGUGCUAACGUCCGUCGUGAAGAGGGAAACAACCCAGACCGCCAGCUAAGGUCCCAAAGUCAUGGUUAAGUGGGAAACGAUGUGGGAAGGCCCAGACAGCCAGGAUGUUGGCUUAGAAGCAGCCAUCAUUUAAAGAAAGCGUAAUAGCUCACUGGUCGAGUCGGCCUGCGCGGAAGAUGUAACGGGGCUAAACCAUGCACCGAAGCUGCGGCAGCGACACUGUGUGUUGUUGGGUAGGGGAGCGUUCUGUAAGCCUGUGAAGGUGGCCUGUGAGGGUUGCUGGAGGUAUCAGAAGUGCGAAUGCUGACAUAAGUAACGAUAAAGCGGGUGAAAAGCCCGCUCGCCGGAAGACCAAGGGUUCCUGUCCAACGUUAAUCGGGGCAGGGUGAGUCGACCCCUAAGGCGAGGCCGAAAGGCGUAGUCGAUGGGAAACGGGUUAAUAUUCCCGUACUUGGUGUUACUGCGAAGGGGGGACGGAGAAGGCUAUGUUGGCCGGGCGACGGUUGUCCCGGUUUAAGCGUGUAGGUGUGUGUUCCAGGUAAAUCCGGUUCACUUUAACACUGAGGCGUGAUGACGAGGCACUACGGUGCUGAAGCAACAAAUGCCCUGCUUCCAGGAAAAGCCUCUAAGCAUCAGGUAACAUCAAAUCGUACCCC
rnacentral:rRNA from 1 species